rnacentral:rRNA from 1 species
UAAUACGAGAGGCCCAAACGUUAUUCGGAAUCACUGGGCUUAAAGAGUUCGUAGGCGGCGCGGAAAGUGGGGUGUGAAAGCCCUCGGCUCAACCGAGGAAUUGCGCUCCAUACUACCGCGCUUGAGGAGGCUAGAGGUAAGCAGAACUGAUGGUGGAGCGGUGAAAUGCGUUGAUAUCAUCAGGAAUACCGGAGGCGAAGGCGGCUUACUGGGACCUUUCUGACGCUGAGGAACGAAAGCUAGGGGAGCAAACGGGAUUAGAUACCCCGGUAGUCCUAGCCGUAAACGGUGAGCACUGGACCGAGGGCCUGCACAGGCCCCCGGUCGUAGCGAAAGUGUUAAGUGCUCCGCCUGGGGAGUAUGGUCGCAAGGCUG